rnacentral:rRNA from 1 species
CCUACGGGUGGCAGCAGUGGGGAAUAUUGCACAAUGGGGGAAACCCUGAUGCAGCGACGCCGCGUGAGUGAAGAAGGAAUUCGGUAUGUAAAGCUCUUUAAGGAGGGAAGAAAAUGACGGUACCUGAGUAAGAAGCACCGGCUAACUACGUGCCAGCAGCCGCGGUAAUACGUAGGGGGCAAGCGUUAUCCGGAUUUACUGGGUGGAAAGGGAGCGUAGACGGCAGUGCAAGUCUGGAGUGAAAGGCGGGGGCUCAACCCGCGGACUGCACUGGAAACUGUACGGCUGGAGUGCAGGAGAGGUAAGUGGAAGUCCUGGUGUAGCGGUGAAAUGCGUAGAUAUUAGGAGGAAAACCAGUGGCGAAGGCGGCUUACUGGACUGUAACUGACGUUGAGGCUCGAAAGCGUGGGGAGCAAACAGGAUUAGAUACCCCAGUAGUC